AGAGUUUGAUCAUGGCUCAGGAUGAACGCUAGCGGCAGGCUUAACACAUGCAAGUCGAGGGGUAUAGGUUUUCGGACCUAGAGACCGGCGCACGGGUGCGUAACGCGUAUGCAAUCUACCUUUUACAGAGGGAUAGCCCAGAGAAAUUUGGAUUAAUACCUCAUAGUAUAGCUGAACCGCAUGGUUCUACUAUUAAAGUCACAACGGUAAAAGAUGAGCAUGCGUCCCAUUAGCUUGUUGGUAAGGUAACGGCUUACCAAGGCUACGAUGGGUAGGGGUCCUGAGAGGGAGAUCCCCCACACUGGUACUGAGACACGGACCAGACUCCUACGGGAGGCAGCAGUGAGGAAUAUUGGUCAAUGGACGCAAGUCUGAACCAGCCAUGCCGCGUGCAGGAUGACGGUCCUAUGGAUUGUAAACUGCUUUUGCACAGGAAGAAACAACUCUACGUGUAGAGUCUUGACGGUACUGUGAGAAUAAGGAUCGGCUAACUCCGUGCCAGCAGCCGCGGUAAUACGGAGGAUCCAAGCGUUAUCCGGAAUCAUUGGGUUUAAAGGGUCCGUAGGCGGUUUAGUAAGUCAGUGGUGAAAGCCCAUCGCUCAACGGUGGAACGGCCAUUGAUACUGCUAGACUUGAAUUAUUAGGAAGUAACUAGAAUAUGUAGUGUAGCGGUGAAAUGCUUAGAGAUUACAUGGAAUACCAAUUGCGAAGGCAGGUUACUACUAAUGGAUUGACGCUGAUGGACGAAAGCGUGGGUAGCGAACAGGAUUAGAUACCCUGGUAGUCCACGCCGUAAACGAUGGAUACUAGCUGUUGGAAGCAAUUUCAGUGGCUAAGCGAAAGUGAUAAGUAUCCCACCUGGGGAGUACGUUCGCAAGAAUGAAACUCAAAGGAAUUGACGGGGGCCCGCACAAGCGGUGGAGCGUGUGGUUUAAUUCGAUGAUACGCGAGGAACCUUACCAAGGCUUAAAUGUAGAUUGACCGGUUUGGAAACAGACUUUUCGCAAGACAAUUUACAAGGUGCUGCAUGGUUGUCGUCAGCUCGUGCCGUGAGGUGUCAGGUUAAGUCCUAUAACGAGCGCAACCCCUGUUGUUAGUUGCCAGCGAGUCAUGUCGGGAACUCUAACAAGACUGCCAGUGUAAACUGUGAGGAAGGUGGGGAUGACGUCAAAUCAUCACGGCCCUUACGCCUUGGGCUACACACGUGCUACAAUGGCCGGUACAGAGAGCAGCCACUGGGCGACCAGGAGCGAAUCUACAAAACCGGUCACAGUUCGGAUCGGAGUCUGCAACUCGACUCCGUGAAGCUGGAAUCGCUAGUAAUCGGAUAUCAGCCAUGAUCCGGUGAAUACGUUCCCGGGCCUUGUACACACCGCCCGUCAAGCCAUGGAAGCUGGGGGUGCCUGAAGUCGGUGACCGCAAGGAGCUGCCUAGGGUAAAACUGGUAACUAGGGCUAAGUCGUAACAAGGUA
rnacentral:rRNA from 1 species